UUGCCAACAGUUUCAGUUUCUCUCUGAAACUCAACAUGGGCCUGCUUGCCUCAUAUGCCUGUGAGCAGCUUUUCAGUUGUGCUGGAUUACUGUUCACUGCAAAGUGAGCAAGGAUGAGCACAACUAAUUUUGAAAAUCAACUGCUGCUCAAACUUAAAGGAGAACUCCGGCGAUUUUUCACAUACUGUAGAUCUCCGUUUCAGCAGCCAGCAGCUAAGGUAGCCAGGCAGCUGCAGCGCUACAAUCUGGGGGGCAUGAACAUGGGGGCUCACGAACAUGCCCCCAGAACGUAACACGGUAGCUGCCUGGCUACUUUA